GGCGCUGCGCGCUGGCGCGCUGGCGCCGCGGCGGGAUCACGGCGGGACGAGGGGGAGCUGCGUCUCGAGCGGAUCGAUCCCGCGCAGCACCGC
rnacentral:tRNA from 1 species